CCACUCACACUGUCAAGAAAAGCUUCUAUCAAGUAUCAUGCUACCCGUACCGUAAACCGACACAGGUAGGCGAGGAGAGAAUCCUAAGAUGAGCGGGAGAAGUGUUGUUAAGGAACUCGGCAAAAUGACUCCGUAACUUCGGGAGAAGGAGUGCCUCGCAAGAGGCCGCAGAGAAGAGGCUCAAGCGACUGUUUAGCAAAAACACAGGUCUCUGCUAAAUCGAAAGAUGACGUAUAGGGGCUGACGCCUGCCCGGUGCUGGAAGGUUAAGGGGAGUGCUUAGCGCAAGCGAAGGUGCGAACUUAAGCCCCAGUAAACGGCGGCCGUAACAAUAACGGUCCUAAGGUAGCGAAAUUCCUUGUCAGGUAAGUUCUGACCCGCACGAAAGGCGUAACGAUUUGAGCGCUGUCUCGACAACACACCCGGUGAAAUUGUAGUACUCGUGAAGAUGCGAGUUACCCGCGACAGGACGGAAAGACCCCGUAGAGCUUUACUGCAAUCUGGCAUUGGAUUUUGAUAUAACAUGUACAGGAUAGGUGGGAGGCAGAGAACCAUGUGCGCCAGCAUGUGGGGAGCCACCCUUGGGAUACCACCCCUGUUAUAUUGGAAUUCUAACGAGUGGCUGUAAUCCAGCCAUCGGACAGUGUCAGAUGGGCAGUUUGACUGGGGCGGUCGCCUCCUAAAAAGUAUCGGAGGCGCCUAAAGUUACCCUCAGGAUGGUUGGAAACCAUCUGUAAGAGUGCAAAGGCAGAAGGGUGAUUGACUGCGAGAGAGACAUCUCGAGCAGGGACGAAAGUCGAGCUUAGUGAUCCGGUGGUCCCGAGUGGAAGGGCCAUCGCUCAACGGAUAAAAGCUACCUCGGGGAUAACAGGCUUAUCUCCCCCAAGAGUCCACAUCGACGGGGAGGUUUGGCACCUCGAUGUCGGCUCGUCUCAUCCUGGGGCUGAAGCAGGUCCCAAGGGUUGGGCUGUUCGCCCAUUAAAGAGGCACGCGAGCUGGGUUCAGAACGUCGUGAGACAGUUCGGUCCCUAUCCGUCGUGGGCGCAAGAAAUUUGAGAGGAGCUGUUCCUAGUACGAGAGGACCGGAACGGACGAACCUCUGGUGCAUCGGUUGUCCUGCCAAGGGCAUAGCCGGGUAGCCAAGUUCGGACGGGAUAAGUGCUGAAGGCAUCUAAGCACGAAGCCCCCCUUAAGAUAAGAUAUCUCAUUCGAAAGAAGUAAGGCCACUGGAAGACGACCAGGUAGAUAGGCUGGAGGUGGAAGUGCGGUAACGUAUGGAGCUGACCAGUACUAAUCGGCCGAGGUCUUGAUGA
rnacentral:rRNA from 1 species